rnacentral:rRNA from 1 species
CCCCUAGAUGUUCUGGGCCGCACGCGCGCUACACUGAACAGUUCAACAAGUCUUAACCUAGGCCGAUAGGUCUGGGUAAUCUUUGAACGCUGUUCGUGAUUGGGAUAGACCUUUGCAAUUAUGGGUCUUCAACGAGGAAUUCCUAGUAAACGCAAGUCAUCAGCUUGCAUUGAUUACGUCCCUGCCCUUUGUACACACCGCCCGUCGCACCUACCGAUUGAAUGGUCCGGUGAAAUCUCGGGACGGCGGCUUGGUCGCUUGCGUCCGACUGCUGAAACUUGAUUAAACCAUAUCAUUUAGAGGAAGGUGAAGUCGUAACA